UGUUCAUCGCUGGCUACUUCCUGUUCAAGUCUUGCUGUCCGGCGGCCUUCGCCUCUUGCUGUGGGCCUAGUACAAGCGCGGCUACCAAACCCCCUGUAACUACUAAACCACCCGAGAAAAACUACUGGAGUCCGCCAUCGCCAAAUCGUAAAACAAGACAGAUAACUCCGGAAAAACCAAAAACACCCGAGCAACCUCUACAGAACCAAAAGUUUGACUACUGGGGAGGUCGGAACACCAUAGGAUCGGCACCAAAACCCGCCGCAGAUAUCGGCGGUCAGUCCACGUACAUGUGAUGACCUGCUAGCAUGGACAGCUUCAGUUGCAGUUACACUAGAAGUGAUAAUCACUGACUGAUCACUACACGAACAUCUGAAGUAACAUGAUCACUCUUCAUCAGAGAUUCUUUUUGUGCUUGGAAAAUGUAAUCAUCACACUGUCAUUGUCUCAUAAUGUUGACAAAGUAACUAUGCUGCUAGGUAACAGAUGCAAUCACGUUUGAGUAUGGCGAACAUGGACUAAGAAGCUAUUGUGGUGAAGAAUUUCAUCUGGGUAUUAAUGACGUGUUUUGUAUCAGAGGUUUGCUAUAUUUCGGGGACUAUUUUCAGCCUAGAGACACUUUGGUAUUUUUUGUAAUGUGGUGUUGUUGUUUUUAAUUUAAUGACAAUUUAGGAUUUUUCAGGAUUCUCACCCGGGGGUGAAAAGUAAUUAUCGCAAAAUGCACUGGAGAUCAUCAAGGUCUGCUGAUUCUUCUACCGUUGUUAUACCUCAGGCUGGAAUUAUAGUUCCAUUGUAUUAACACUGACCAGUGGACUGCGUACAGCUAGUGACAGUGUUAUUACCAUAUUUUGGUUCCGUGGCCAGUCUGUAGAGACUAGCACCAGAUCCGGCACCAGUCGUCUGGGCGGUGGGGUAAUCAAGUGGUUCAAGUGGCGAAUACCCGAAUUCGAUUCCCCACAUGGGUACAGUGUGUGAAGCCCUUUUCUGGUUUCCCCUGCUGUGAUAUUGCUGGCGUAUUGCUGAAAUUCUCAGUACUCAUCCCUACCAGUUCUGUGAUAAUGACCAUGUUUCGUCUUCAUUGUCAAAUAUACUGUCCACGACAUCUCGGUGCUCUGAGCGUUGGCUUGUCACGCCGAAGACCCGGGUUCGAUUCCCCACAUGGGUACAAUGUGUGAAGCCCAUUUCUGGUGUGCCCCGCCGUGAUAUUGCUGGAAUAUUGCUAAAAGCGGCGUAAAACUACACUCACUCACUCGGUGCUCUGAAAGAUGGGUACCCGGUAGGCCUAUUUAUGCCUGGGUUAAGGAUGGCUUCUCAUGUAAAUAAUUGAUCUGCCAAGACAAUGAUGCUCAGCAUUAUGCAAUAAAUACAUAGUCUUCUGUUU